UCUUCCCUCUUUCUUUCUGCUUCCCCCCUGCACGUCGACCGGUCACUUCGGUGAUAGUGGCGGACGGGUGAGUAACGCGUGAGAAUCUGUCUUCAGGUCGGGGACAACAGUUAGAAAUGACUGCUAAUACCGGAUGUGCCUUUGGGUGAAAGAUUUAUUGCCUGAAAAAGAGCUCGCGUCAGAUUAGCUAGUAGGUGGUGUAAGAGACUACCUAGGCUCCGAUCUGUAGCUGGUCUGAGAGGACGAUCAGCCACACUGGAACUGAGACACGGUCCAGACUCCUACGGGAGGCAGCAGUGGGGAAUUUUCCGCAAUGGGCGAAAGCCUGACGGAGCAAUACCGCGUGAGGGACGAAGGCUUUUGGGUCGUAAACCUCUUUUCUCAAGGAAGAUGAUGACGGUACUUGAGGAAUAAGCAUCGGCUAACUCGGUG
rnacentral:rRNA from 1 species